GCGGGAGGAGGGCGCGGCCGCGGAGGCAGAGCGCCGGGCGCCUAUGGAGGGCAGGGCAGCCGCGCUGGCAGGCCCGGCCAGCCCGUGUGAGGGCAUCGCCGUCCUGCCGCUUCCCCCGCGCCUGCCUAUUGCCAUCUGCCAUUCAUGGAAGAACCGCGGACCUGGUCCAAGUGACUGCUGCAUAGGGAGCAGGGCCGACCGAGGGGGCCACCCCAUCCCCUUGGGGUGCCCGGCGCGGGACUGUAGGGCAUAGUCGCAACUCCACCGCGGCGCGGGGCAGGGAGGCCAGCAGGGCCCGCUGGGAGGGCAGGAGCUGCUGCGGGGCUGUACAAGUCGCCGCGGACCAGGGAUUGCUGCAGCUGGGAGGUUGCAACAGCAGAACUGACCAGGCGCGAGCUCAAAAUGUCCAUCUGCAUCCUCGGCUUCAGCUGCUGCAGACCGAAAAUCGGAUCUCCUCAUCUGAUCCCUGUUCUGGGCCAAUUUUCUGACCGAUCCUGCCAUGGCGCACAUGACAGACACCCCUGUCCGGAACAGGAAUGUUGGAGUUUUCACGGGUGUAGCUGGCAGUGUGCCACUACUGGCCUUUAUUAGGGUGUCCUGCUCUGACUCUCCUACAGUCAAAAGGGAAAAGGACAAGUCAUCAGGGUGCUUUUCCCUCCUCAGACAUCUUGCUCUUUUCUUUUUUGACCACUCUUUAUGUGGGAGAACAUUUAUUUCUAUCUUGGACAUUGGACCUUGUCUCUCAAGGUAUUAAUUACCUAACUAUUCAGAUAAAUGUGGUUUUUUUAAAGAUCAUUUAGGUAUCUGUGAAGACCUUACUGAAUACCCACGCACAUAUUUAGGCACAUAAUCAAUUUUAAAAAUCAAUGGAUUCGUUUCUAUUAAACCAGCCCCCCCUCCAAUAACUGAUCUGUUUCUGUGUUUUUAUGCCAUCUGCAUUUUUGACAACUGAAUAUUUUUGACAGCAUGGUCCAUUGUGCCCAAGUUCACAUCAUUUUUUUUUCCUCUCUUUUUUUUAAAACAUCAUAUGACUACAUAUGUAAUAAGAAAAUGGGUUAUAUCACACAUUUUGCUUUACAGAUUUGGGUUCACAGUGGAUUUUUUGAACUGACAAAAAUUGUACAAGAAGUAUUUCUAUUAUAAGAGUGCAUUUAUUUU
rnacentral:lncRNA from 1 species